AUACGGAGGGUGCGAGCGUUAAUCGGAAUUACUGGGCGUAAAGCGUACGUAGGCGGUUGGUUAAGUUAGAUGUGAAAGCCCCGGGCUUAACCUGGGAACUGCAUUUAAAACUGGCUAACUAGAGUUAAGUAGAGGGGAGUGGAAUUUCAGGUGUAGCGGUGAAAUGCGUAGAGAUCUGAAGGAACACCAGUGGCGAAGGCGACUCCCUGGACUUGAACUGACGCUGAGGUACGAAAGCGUGGGUAGCAAACGGGAUUAGAAACCCUAGUAGUCC
rnacentral:rRNA from 1 species